rnacentral:rRNA from 1 species
ACGGUCCAAAACCCUACGGGAGGGAACAAUAGGGAAUCUUCCCCAAUGGGCGAAAGUUUGAAGGAACCACCCCCGAGGAGUGAAGAAGGGCUUCCUCUUAAAAACUUUGUUAUUAGGGAAAAAAAAUACCGUAGGUAACUAUGCUGGUCUUGACGGUAUUCAAUAAAAAAGCCACGCCUAACUACGUGCCACCACCCCCGGUAAUAUGUAGGGGGCGCGCGUUUUCUGGAGUUUUUGGGGGUAAAGCGCGCGUAGGGGGUUUUUUAUGUCUGAUGUGAAAACCCACGCUCCUACCGUGGAGGGUCUUUGUAAACUGGGGAACUUGAGUGCAGAAGAGGAAAGUGGAAUUUCCAUGUGUAUCGGGGAAAUGCGCAGAGAUAUGGAGGAACACCAGUGGGGGAGGGGACUUUUUGGUCUGUAACUGACGCUGAGGGGCGAAAGCGUGGGGAGCAAACAGGAUUUGAUACCCCGGUGAUUCCCCCCCCUAAACGAGGAGUGUUAACUGUUAGGGGGUUCUCGCGCCUUAGUGCCGCAGCUAACGCAUUAAGCUCUCCCCCUGGGGAGUACGGCCGCAAGGGUGAAACUCAAAGGAAUUGACGGGGACCCGCACAAGCGGGGGAGCAUGUGGUUUAAUUUGAAGCAACGCGAAGAACCUUACCAAAUCUUGACAUCCUCUAGAAACUCCCGAGAAAGAGCCUUUCCCUUCGGGGGACAAAGCAACAGGUGGUGCAUGGUUGUCGUCAGCUCGUGUCGUGAGAUGUUGGGUUAAGUCCCGCAACGAGCGCAACCCUUGAUUUUAGUUGCCAUCAUUAAGUUGGGCACUCUAAGGUGACUCCCGGUGACAAACCGGAGGAAGGUGGGGAUGACGUCAAAUCAUCAUCCCCCUUAUGACUUGGGCUCCCCCCGUGUUCCAAUGGCCGAUACAAAGGGCAGCAAACCCGGGGGGGAGGCAUAUUUCAAACCCCGUUCCCAUUUGGGAUGGUAGUUUGCAAUUGGCCUCC